CUUAUAAGUUGCUCAUCAAAAGUUGCCCAUAUACAACAAGAGCAACUUAUAAUGGUUACAAAAAAAAAAAAAUUAAAAGUUGUCCUUAUCUAACAAGAGCAUCUUUUAAUGACAAAAUGUAAAAAAAAAUAAAAAUAAAAAGUAAAUCUUUACUACUGAAACCAGAUUUUCCCCCCUUCUCUUCUCGUUGCUCGGCUGCUCCCCUUUUCUUCUGCAGAAGCCGUUUAUGGCGACGACUUUAUCAUCCUCAACAGAUUUCCUCCAGACCUUCAUCUCCACAUCAAACCUCGUACCGCCGACGUCGAUUCUCAAUAGGUUGAACGGUGUUAUAUCUGCUUUUGGACGGCUUUUGCUGAUGGGGCUGGCGGUGGUGGUGGUUUGUUCAAGGAUUUUGGACGCCUUUUGCUGCUGGGGCUGGCGGUGGUGGUGGUUUUCGUUGCGGCUUUCUGGCCAGUAUCACGAUCAGCAUUGCGAUCAGGGCUUCCAUUUGUACCAAGUUACCUAGGACAAGCAGGGACCAUUGAUGCUAUGAUUCGUGGGGUGAAUUACGCUUCUGCUGGUGCUGGAAUUAUUUUCUCAAGUGGCUCAGAUCUGGUCAAAGCUAUUGCAGAAGAAAUGGGGAUUGGAUUUCUACGUGUGAGAGCAAUCAAAGGGAACACCAACAUAGCACGAGCUGAGAUGGGGUCGAGUUCUUGGGACAGUGACAAGAUCCUUCACUAGGUGCAAUUGGCUAUGCAGAUAGGCUGGCAUUUGCACUAGAUAAAUUCUGAAAGGGGUUUGAGAAUACCGAUUCUAGCCUUUCAGUUUUAGCAGGGGAAUUGAAGAAGUUAAGGUUUUGGUAGCUGUACAUAUUCGUCUACUAUUACAUUUUCGUAUUGCUAUAGAAAAUUUCAUAGUGUUGUUGGCCAAAUGGUCUCUGAUAUUCUUGAUUCUAUUUGUUAUAUAUAUCUAAGACGACUUCCCUUUAAAAACCAAAAUCAAAGGCUUACAACUCUUAAUGCUUGAGCAUUCUGCUUCAGGUGAUGCUAAUCUGUGGGACGACAGUGAUGGGAAAUAUGCAGAUGGUCAACUAUGGCUUGAAGAUCACCAUAUAAUCGGAAGAGUGAUUGGGUGAACUUGGAUUUUAGUUCUGAAGCUGACAUGAUCAGAAAAUUUCGUGCUGGUUUAGCAUUACAACUUAUUGCAACAGCAUUAUUCGCGAACUCACCUUUCAAGGAUGGAAAGCCCAAUGGUUAUCUCGGUUUGAGAAGGUUCUAUCGAUUUUCCUCAGAGACCAAAGUUGAUGAUGUUGGUUUUCAAAACUCUAAGAGAGGGUCCCUUUACCGAAAAGGAGUUGGAUGAAGUUCGAGACAAGUGGGCUAUUUACUUCAACGAUUGUGAACUGCCCUCAGUGUAAUAAAUAGAGCAGGCUUUUAGUUAUUCGUGACUCUUAGAUUAUUUUGUUAUUUAUCGAUUUAAUUAAUUACAUUUGAAUUAAUUUGGUAAUAUUAUUGGAAAUUUGAAAUUUAUAUCAUUUUUGAGAAUGUCA